CGUCUCAAAAAAAAAAAAAAAAGAAAAAGAAAAAGAAAGUGAUGGUCUGUAGCUGAUGCAAUUAUGUAACAUGCCACACCUUCCAUUUUUAUCAUUUUUAAUACGGAAUAAAAUCCGUCCACAAGCUUCUAGGAGACAACGUUCAAGGCUGAUGUGGUGCAGGUUGUGUUUCUGCCUGGUGCAGGUACUGCCAAGAUAACAAGAGUUUGACUGUUUUUAUGAAGAUCAAUGACUCUGACCCCCACAAAGGAUUCCUCUGUGAGUGAGGGAUCAGAUGACAGCCCGUGGACAGCUGGCAUUCCUCAGCCUGUUGGUCAGACGAUGCUCCCUCCUCUGAGAAUGGCAGGGUUCCCUCAGGGGAGGAGGUGAGCUGAUUGGGUCAGCUGGGAGCUAAGUGAGGUCACAGGGAGGGACGUCUACCCCGUGGAAUCAUGUCUUAUUAAGGAGUGAAAGAGACACCAUCUAUCGCUGCCCAGGAAUCAGCUCCGCGUGGCGGCGGGUUUGGGGCAGGGGCAAGUAAACGUCAGGAACGGACCAGACAGUGAACAUUUUAGGAUUUGUGACUGUGUAACUCUGCUGUUGUAGUGCAGAAGCAGCCGUGGGUGAUACCUGGGCAAAUGGGCCUGGCGUGUUCCCACGACAAUGCGUUUACUGUAACAGAUGCCAAGAGGAUUAGGCCACCGACUUUUGCAUGUGCUCUUCGGGCCUGCCGCCUGAGCAGAAUGAGGAUUCCAGUGGUGUUCACAUCAUCAGGCGUCUCGUGUUCUGCGUAUAAAACAAGCUCUUGAAGUCAGGAGACAACGUGCAAGCUUAGCAGGCAGGUAGCUCGUGAAGCAUCUCACCUCCCAGCAUAACAAGUGCUUCUCCAUCCGUACGUACAGAAUUCCACUCUGCAGGCGGCAAUGUUGUGAUGGAAUAUGCUCUGAGAGAGAGAGGAGGUGACUUCUGCCAGGAGUGAUCAGGAGGACUUCUUGGAGGAGGCAGCACUUGAACUGGUCUUGAAAGAUGAUGAGAUUUUAAUGGGAAAAGAGACGAUCGAGAAGAACCUUCCAGCAGGAGGGAGCUGCCUUAGCAAAGAUAGGGAGGCUGGAAAACAUGAGAAGUGGGACAGGAAUAUCAACACAGGACCUCUCCCUUCUGAGCCAAACUGACACUCACCUCUUGCCAUGAAAGGUCGCUCUUCCGGAGAUUAUAAGCUAUUUAUUUUUAAUAGAGAAACUGCCUUAGUUUGAGUUCUGGCUGCCACUUAUUUAGGGAAGAAACAACUUUUUGGGCCUCAGGUCCUCAUCUGUAAAAUGGGCUGAAUAAUAGGAUUGUGCCUCUCUCCAGUGGGCUGUUAGAGGUUGGGCUGCGUACCCCCAGUACUCACAUGCUGAGGCCUAACCCGGUGUGACUGUACAUGGAGACAGGUGUAUAGGGAGGGGAUAAAGGCUAAGUGAGGCCACAGGGGAGGGGCCUCUACCCUCUAGAGUCGUGUCUUUAUAAGGAGUGAAAGAGAAACCAUCGCUUGCUUCUCUCCCGUGUGCAGAGGAAAGGCCAGUGAGGAGGCGCCCUGCAGCCCCAGGCAGAGCCCUCACCACGCCAGCCCUGCCGACGCCUUGAUCUCGGACUCCCGGGCAUCUGCUGCAUAAACCACCCCGUCCGAUGUAUUUUCCCAUGGCAGCUUGAGCAGAAUGAGGCUGGGGCUUUGGAAGAAGGAACUUCACAUGUGAGGAACUUGGAGAGUGGGACGUGCCGUGUGUGCACAUGUGCUGCUGGUGGCUGUUGUUAUUGUUAUGAUCAGGAGUGGCGUAUUCCCAGCCUCUGGAAGCUAACCUCAUGGUUUUCUUUCUUCUUCCACUUUUCCUUUUUCAGAUCAUGCCUGCCCUUAGCCUGAAUCCCCGCCAUGUAGGGCUCCAGGACUGCUGUGGCCUCAGCAAUUCUGGGCUCCCGGAGGCCCUGGUUCAUCGUUCUGCCCUUUCCCCUUGGCUGGCCUAGAUGCCAUGUCCUCUUUCUUGGGACGGUCCUCACUGACGGGCCCCAUGGGAGGAGGGAGACAGGGCCAGCUGCCAUGUGGGCACAGCUGUCAUGGCAUCCCCUCCUCCAGACAUUGCUCACCAGUCCUGGCUUCCCUGAGCUUCUCGUCAGCCCUGGUGGAAGUGAGCAGACAUGAUGACUUAGUCUUGUUUUCCCCAUCAGGAGGCCAGGGCAGGGGAAAGGCAGUGUGCCGCUGAGUGGUUGGUCGUCUGACUUAGUGCCAGUCACGCGCAUGUGAUCUAGGGUCUCGGGGCACGGUGCUGGGACAGCUCAGCUGGCAGACCUAGGACAGGGCUGGAGGGUGGGGGGCAGGACUGGGGCCAGAACUCUUCUCCCUCCCUCCCUCCGGACUCAGGGGGGUCCCUUGGGCGAAUUCCUUGUCCAGACAGAGAUGUGCGGGGCGAGAGACCCCCAGUCUCCCUAGGAGAAGUGAGCAGGUGGGGCCCAAGACAACAGCCCCCUGUGGCAACCUCCAGCCCUGGGACAGUGGCCUGAACCCUGGGUCACCACGCUUACUCCACCCAGUGCAGAAUUCUCCAGCGCCCAGCCUUGCAGAGGCAACGCGGCUCUGACAGGACCUGUAAUCUCUUCCUGCCACUUCUUUGUCAUGCAACCAGCCCUUGCCUUCAAAUCUCUCAAAAUCCUCUUCCCCAGAGGUCGCUGCCCUGGUCCUCGGAGCAGGCUGUGGACAUGGACUGACUCUGCCGAGCUCUUCCUCCUCUGUGUACCGAGGCCACAGCCCCCACUCCCAUCCCCAAUGCAGGCUCUGCCUGUGCUACUGUCCCUUGUCCUUCCCCUUAUCAAGCCCAGGGGACCCCGUAACCACACGCCCUCCUCAGGGCCUUUUCAUUGGAAUUCCCACACUCUGCAUUUCUAAAGGACUGGUGGAAACCGCAGGGUUCUUCUGAGCAGUGAGCUACUGGAGUGAAUCGAAAUCACACUUGCUUCCUCCACAUCCCACCUGCAGCCACAUUUGUCAGGAGCGCAGCUGCUGCAGAAAGCGUCUCUGGAGCUUGGGAAGCAGGCGCGGGGCCACUCUGAACUCCCCUGUGCUAAUCACACCCCAUUUCUGCAUCCUGCGGGCACUUUGGUCGGACCCUUUCGAUAUCAAACACUGAUCAAUUGUAAUGAACGGCACUGUUCCCACACAGGACCUCUAAUGACUACUGAGUUCUUAUGAGGAGUGCCUCGUGCUUUGCAGCAUCUAACGUCUCGACAGUGACCUGCUAGUUCCUAUCCAGCUCGUCAGCAGAUCACGGUCACAAACCCUGGGAGAGGUGGGCUUGCCAUGCCACUGCCCCUGCUGAUUCUCCAUCCAGCGGCCGCCUCCUACUGCAGGGCACCGCCGCUCCUUUCUUGGGUCCUGGCAUGGCUCGUGGCAAUUAUCUCCCCUACCCCACCCCCACAACUGACGACAUGUUUCCUGUGUGAGACUCUUUGUCUCCCGAGAAGCAGACACCAAGACAGGAUGAGAGACGGAUUUUAUUGGGAAAAACACCUGCAGGAGAAAACGGGUCUGCGCUGCCUCAGGUCUGAAAUGAUGUCUUCUCUCUCCUGUUUUGUGAGCGGCUCGUUCUGCUGUCAAAUAGGCCCUUUCCCCAGGACCCUUGGGGUCCAGCAUAGGAUCUGACCCGGCAGGACCUCAGCAAAGACUCGUGGCUGCUUUCAGAGUGGACACCUGCCGUCACGUUUUCCUGAGCAUUUCCCUAUGCUGCCGGCGCACUGGGGAGCUCUACUCAACCCACAACGGACUGCAGAUCUUUUGGCCGCUGCAUUCACAACUUUGUCCCGAGCCGCUCCGUGGAAGGCAUCCUGGAAGUCUAUCGGUCUUCCCACGAGCGUUCAAGACUCCCAGAUCCCCACGGGCCCUGAUACCAUCUCUGUCUGAGCAGCUGCCCGUGUGUGCGGGAGCACCCUGCCUGAGGCGGAGGGAGCACAGCAUCCGUUCGGAGAUGUUUGAGGACAAUACAUAAAAAUGCACGAUUUCAAACCACUGCUGCAUUUUUUUUUUGAGACGAUGUCCUGCUCUGUCGCCCAGGCUGGAAUGUAGUGGCACAAUCUCGGCUCAUUGCAACCUCCUCCUCCCAGGUUUAAGUGAUUCUCCCGCCUCAGCCUCCCAAGUAGCUGGGAUUACAGGGUAUCCCCUGCUGCCCUGCAUGAGGCUUCUUUACCUGCUGUCUGUUCACCCCAAGGCGGGAGCUUCCUGAAAGCUGGAGCACCGAC